rnacentral:rRNA from 1 species
UAGGGAAUCUUCGGCAAUGGGGGGAACCCUGACCGAGCAACGCCGCGUGAGUGAAGAAGGUUUUCGGAUCGUAAAGCUCUGUUGUUAAGGAAGAACGAGUGUGAGAAUGGAAAGUUCAUACUGUGACGGUACUUAACCAGAAAGGGACGGCUAACUACGUGCCAGCAGCCGCGGUAAUACGUAGGUCCCGAGCGUUGUCCGGAUUUAUUGGGCGUAAAGCGAGCGCAGGCGGUUAGAUAAGUCUGAAGUUAAAGGCAGUGGCUCAACCAUUGUAGGCUUUGGAAGUUGUUUAACUUGAGUGCAGAAGGGGGGAGUGGAAUUCCAUGUGUAGCGGUGAAAUGCGUAGAUAUAUGGAGGAACACCGGUGGCGAAAGCGGCUCUCUGGUCUGUAACUGACGCUGAGGCUCGAAAGCGUGGGGAGCGAACAGG